rnacentral:lncRNA from 1 species
UGACGCUGACCAGCCUGUAGUUCCCUAGAUCCUUCUUCUUGCCUUUCUUGAAGGUAGGGGUGACAUUUGCUUUCUUUCAAUCCUCAGGAACCUCUCCCGAUCGCCACAACCUUUCAAAGAUAAUCAAGAAUGGCCUUGCAGUGCACUGACCGGUCUUGAUAGAGCUGUGUAGUUAUCUGCUAGCCACUGUGGCUUCCACAUGCGCCCGCUGCCAGCCCCACUGUCCUGUCACCACCACAGCCAGAAUGACGCAUGGGAUUCUGGAUGGCGUCUGCUACUCACCUCUACGCUGACAUUGGAAGAAUCAGCUUUUUUCCAGCUAACGAGCCUUCUCAAGAUGUCCCCUGUGUCCUCCUUCCCCACCAGAAGAAAACCAAAUCGUGGACUGUGUCUUUCCACCCUUGUACAGGCUACAGAACGGGAUGAGCUGCCACAAUACCCUUAUCUCAAAGACCAGGGUGAGCCAUGGCAAAUCCUGGAGAUGGUGCUGAGUCCUGGGACUGCACGCACUUGCUCCACAGCUCAAGAAUCGUGGAAGUGGCCAGGGCUCACGCGGACGGACGGGCGAGCUGGCGGCAGCACCUGCCAGGUAAACCCUCCCACCUUUGAGGGCUCGCUGAAAUGCUAUUUCUAGC